UACGUAGGGUGCAAGCGUUAAUCGGAAUUACUGGGCGUAAAGCGUGCGCAGGCGGUUGUGCAAGACAGAUGUGAAAUCCCCGGGCUUAACCUGGGAAUGGCAUUUGGGACUGCAAGGCUGGAGUGUGGCAGAGGGAGACUGGAAUUCCUGGUGGUAGCAGUGAAAUGCGUAGAGAUCAUGAGGAAGACCAGUGGCGAAGGCGGGUCUCUGGACAGUUCCUGACACUGAGGCACGAAGGCCAGGGGAGCAAACGGG
rnacentral:rRNA from 1 species